rnacentral:rRNA from 1 species
CAAUAGCGUAUAUUUAAGUUGUUGCAGUUAAAAAGCUCGUAGUUGGAUUUCGGGUGGGACGCAGCGGUCUCGCAUUGCGUUUGUACUGCUGCAGCCCUCCUUCUUGCCGGGGGCGGCCUCUCGGACUUCACUGUCUGGGGGUCAGAAUCGGCGAUGUUACUUUGAGUAAAUUAGAGUGUUCAAAGCAAGCUUACGCUCUGAAUAUAAUAGCAUGGGAUAACACGACAGGACUCUGGCCUAUCGUGUUGGUCUAUAGGACCAGAGUAAUGAUUAAGAGGGACAGUCGGGGGCAUUCGUAUUCCAUUGUCAGAGGUGAAAUUCUUAGAUUUAUGGAAGACGAACAUCUGCGAAAGCAUUUGCCAAGGAUGUUUUCAUUGA